CCUACGGGGGGCUGCAGUGGGGAAUAUUGGACAAUGGGGGGAACCCUGAUCCAGCCAUGCCGCGUGUGUGAAGAAGGCCCUCGGGUUGUAAAGCACUUUCAGUGAGGAAGAACGCCUGGUGGUUAAUACCCAUCAGGAAAGACAUCACUCACAGAAGAAGCACCGGCUAACUCCGUGCCAGCAGCCGCGGUAAUACGGAGGGUGCGAGCGUUAAUCGGAAUUACUGGGCGUAAAGCGCGCGUAGGUGGCUUGAUAAGCCGGUUGUGAAAGCCCCGGGCUCAACCUGGGAACGGCAUCCGGAACUGUCAAGCUAGAGUGCAGGAGAGGAAGGUAGAAUUCCCGUUGUAGCGGUGAAAUGCGUAGAGAUCGGGAGGAAUACCAGUGGCGAAGGCGGCCUUCUGGACUGACACUGACACUGAGGUGCGAAAGCGUGGGUAGCAAACAGGAUUAGAUACCCGGGUAGUC
rnacentral:rRNA from 1 species